CGGGCCAGAAAUGGUCAACUCUUUGGACACUCGUGAACAGGUGGUGCAUGGUUGUCGUCAGCUCGUGUCGUGAGAUGUUGGGUUAAGUCCCGCAACGAGCGCAACCCUCGUUCUAUGUUGCCAGCGCGUUAUGGCGGGGACUCAUAGGAGACUGCCGGGGUCAACUCGGAGGAAGGUGGGGAUGACGUCAAAUCAUCAUGCCCCUUAUGUCUUGGGCUUCACGCAUGCUACAAUGGCCGGUACAAAGGGCUGCGAUACCGUAAGGUGGAGCGAAUCCCAAAAAGCCGGUCUCAGUUCGGAUUGAGGUCUGCAACUCGACCUCAUGAAGUCGGAGUCGCUAGUAAUCGCAGAUCAGCAACGCUGCGGUGAAUACGUUCCCGGGUCUUGUACACACCGA
rnacentral:rRNA from 1 species